UGGGGAAUAUUGCACAAUGGGCGCAAGCCUGAUGCAGCCAUGCCGCGUGUAUGAAGAAGGCCUUCGGGUUGUAAAGUACUUUCAGCGGGGAGAAAGGUGUUGAGGUUAAUAACCUCAGCAAUUGACGUUACCCGCAGAAGAAGCACCGGCUAACUCCGUGCCAGCAGCCGCGGUAAUACGGAGGGUGCAAGCGUUAAUCGGAAUUACUGGGCGUAAAGCGCACGCAGGCGGUCUGUCAAGUCGGAUGUGAAAUCCCCGGGCUCAACCUGGGAACUGCAUUCGAAACUGGCAGGCUAGAGUCUUGUAGAGGGGGGUAGAAUUCCAGGUGUAGCGGUGAAAUGCGUAGAGAUCUGGAGGAAUACCGGUGGCGAAGGCGGCCCCCUGGACAAAGACUGACGCUCAGGUGCGAAAGCGUGGGGAGCAAACA
rnacentral:rRNA from 1 species